rnacentral:rRNA from 1 species
GCUCAGGACGAACGCUGGCGGCGUGCCUAAUACAUGCAAGUCGAGCGGACAGAAGGGAGCUUGCUCCCGGAUGUUAGCGGCGGACGGGUGAGUAACACGUGGGUAACCUGCCUGUAAGACUGGGAUAACUCCGGGAAACCGGAGCUAAUACCGGAUAGUUCCUUGAACCGCAUGGUUCAAGGAUGAAAGACGGUUUCGGCUGUCACUUACAGAUGGACCCGCGGCGCAUUAGCUAGUUGGUGAGGUAACGGCUCACCAAGGCGACGAUGCGUAGCCGACCUGAGAGGGUGAUCGGCCACACUGGGACUGAGACACGGCCCAGACUCCUACGGGAGGCAGCAGUAGGGAAUCUUCCGCAAUGGACGAAAGUCUGACGGAGCAACGCCGCGUGAGUGAUGAAGGUUUUCGGAUCGUAAAGCUCUGUUGUUAGGGAAGAACAAGUGCAAGAGUAACUGCUUGCACCUUGACGGUACCUAACCAGAAAGCCACGGCUAACUACGUGCCAGCAGCCGCGGUAAUACGUAGGUGGCAAGCGUUGUCCGGAAUUAUUGGGCGUAAAGGGCUCGCAGGCGGUUUCUUAAGUCUGAUGUGAAAGCCCCCGGCUCAACCGGGGAGGGUCAUUGGAAACUGGGAAACUUGAGUGCAGAAGAGGAGAGUGGAAUUCCACGUGUAGCGGUGAAAUGCGUAGAGAUGUGGAGGAACACCAGUGGCGAAGGCGACUCUCUGGUCUGUAACUGACGCUGAGGAGCGAAAGCGUGGGGAGCGAACAGGAUUAGAUACCCUGGUAGUCCACGCCGUAAACGAUGAGUGCUAAGUGUUAGGGGGUUUCCGCCCCUUAGUGCUGCAGCUAACGCAUUAAGCACUCCGCCUGGGGAGUACGGUCGCAAGACUGAAACUCAAAGGAAUUGACGGGGGCCCGCACAAGCGGUGGAGCAUGUGGUUUAAUUCGAAGCAACGCGAAGAACCUUACCAGGUCUUGACAUCCUCUGACAACCCUAGAGAUAGGGCUUUCCCUUCGGGGACAGAGUGACAGGUGGUGCAUGGUUGUCGUCAGCUCGUGUCGUGAGAUGUUGGGUUAAGUCCCGCAACGAGCGCAACCCUUGAUCUUAGUUGCCAGCAUUCAGUUGGGCACUCUAAGGUGACUGCCGGUGACAAACCGGAGGAAGGUGGGGAUGACGUCAAAUCAUCAUGCCCCUUAUGACCUGGGCUACACACGUGCUACAAUGGACAGAACAAAGGGCUGCGAGACCGCAAGUUUUAGCCAAUCCCUCAAAUCUGUUCUCAGUUCGGAUC